UUCUGACCUCAAAUCAGGUGGGACUACCCG
rnacentral:rRNA from 1 species